GCUGAGCUCAGUAGCGCGAGCUUGUAACCCGAGCGGGGGCAACAAGGUGGUUGGACAUUAACUCGAUCCGACGGAUAGGGUCUGUUGAGGCUUGAUUUGGUUCGCCCGUUCCAAGUAAGGAGUUGGGCCACGCGACUCGGGUGAAGGCUCGGGUUUCAUGGUCCUUAGAGUGGAGGUCACCAGGUCAGGCUGGUUUCACAGAGCAGCGACAACCUCCCGCUCCCGUCGGUGGAAGGAUAACGAAUCGGUGCCUCGCUAUCCCACUGAUGCCUUAGGAGCCGAGUUUAAUCGGACGGCCGCCUUU
rnacentral:SRP_RNA from 1 species